ACUGCUCAGUAACACGUGGAUAACCUGCCCUGCGGUGGGAAAUAACCCCGGGAAACUGGGGAUAAUGUCCCAUAGGCUACGGAUACCGGAAUGUUCUGUAGUCAAAAGAUUUAUCGCCACAGGAUGGGUCUGCGGCCGAUUAGGUAGUUGUUGGGGUAAAGGCCCAGCAAGCCUUUGAUCGGUACGGGUUGUGGGAGCAAGAGCCCGGAGAUGGAUUCUGAGACACGAAUCCAGGCCCUACGGGGCGCAGCAGGCGCGAAAACUUUACAAUGCGGGAAACCGUGAUAAGGGAACUCCGAGUGUCCGUAAAUUCGGAUUGUCCGUAUGUUUAAAAAGCAUACGAAGAAAGGGCCGGGCAAGACCGGUGCCAGCCGCCGCGGUAAUACCGGCGGCUCGAGUGGUGGCCACUAUUACUGGGCUUAAAGCGUUCGUAGCUUGGUUGUUAAGUCUCUUGGGAAAUCUAUCGGCUUAACCGAUAGGCGUCCAGGGGAUACUGGCAAUCUAGGGACCGGGAGAGGUGAGGGGUACUUCAGGGGUAGGAGUGAAAUCCUGUAAUCCUUGGGGGACCACCUGUGGCGAAGGCGCCUCACCAGAACGGCUCCGACAGUGAGGGACGAAAGCUGGGGGAGCAAACCGGAUUAGAUACCCGGGUAGUCCCAGCCGUAAACGAUGCACGUUAGGUGUAUCGAUGACCACGAGUCAUCGAGGUGCCGAAGGGAAACCGUGAAACGUGCCGCCUGGGAAGUACGGUCGCAAGGCUGAAACUUAAAGGAAUUGGCGGGGGAGCAC
rnacentral:rRNA from 1 species